AGAGUUUGAUCCUGGCUCAGGAUGAACGCUGGCGGCGUGCCUAACACAUGCAAGUCGAACGUGAGCCUGAUUUCGGUUAGGUGAAAGUGGCGAACGGGUGAGUAACACGUUGGUGACCUGCCCCGAGCUGGGGGAUAACUCCUCGAAAGAGGAGCUAAUACCCCGGAUGUCUGCCUGGUUAGAGAGGGCAGACUAAAGUUUUCGGAUGGCUCGGGAGGGGCCUGCGGGCUAUCAGCUAGUUGGUGAGGUAACGGCUCACCAAGGCGCAGACGGCUAGGGGGCGUGAGAGCGUGACCCCCCACAAGGGAACUGAGAGACGGUCCCUACUCCUACGGGAGGCAGCAGUGAGGAAUAUUGAGCAAUGGGCGCAAGCCUGACUCAGCAACGCCGCGUGGACGAUGACGGCCUUCGGGUUGUAAAGUCCUUUUCUGAGGGACGAUGAUGACGGUACCUCAGGAACAAGUCCCGGCUAACUACGUGCCAGCAGCCGCGGUAAAACGUAGGGGGCGAGCGUUAUCCGGAUUUACUGGGCGUAAAGCGCAUGUAGGCGGUUUGGAAAGUUGGACGUGAAAGCUCCUGGCUUAACUGGGAGAGGUCGUUCGAUACUACCAGACUGGAGGUUGGAAGAGGAGAGUGGAAUUCCCGGUGUAGUGGUGGAAUGCGUAGAUAUCGGGAGGAACACCAGUGGCGAAAGCGGCUCUCUGGACCAAUUCUGACGCUGAGAUGCGAAAGCGUGGGGAGCAAACGGGAUUAGAUACCCCGGUAGUCCACGCUGUAAACGAUGGAGACUAGGUGUCGGC
rnacentral:rRNA from 1 species